GUUGGCCUCAAUGUUUCAAGUGCUGACGCUAUGCGGUCCUUACAAGUAUCCACUGGAGCUAAGAAUGAAGAUAGGGGCAUGACAUCCUGAAGUUCCAUAGACAAGGUACCAUCAGAAUCAUGAGGAAUGAAAACAUUCUUCACCACUGGAAUGGGGCCUUGAACAUCAUACAAACCUAUUUUAUGGCUGAAUGUGGCCAAGCCAAAUAGUGAUCCAGGCCCAAGAGCUUCUAAAGCAGCUAAAAGGGCACUUUUAACAAGUUCCAAAAACUCCUCGGAUGAAGCAAGAUCAACAGCUGCUACAUAAACAGGCCGUGCCUGCAUUUCCUCAGAUUCUUCCAUGGGCAAUUCAAGGUCAAUAAACGAAGACAUAUUCUCCGGGCAAGAUUCAGGUUGAGAAUAACGACUGACAGACUGAGAAGAUAGUCCAUUAAGUGUACCACAAAGGGAACAAGUCCAAGCCCAUUGCUCUUGCUCACAGUAUGUAUUAUAGUAAGCCCAACAAUUCUCACAUCGCGGUAGCAAGUGACCUUCCGAUCCAUAAACCGGUGGAUUCCCAUUCUCAUCCUUUGCAGCAAACGGUGAAACUGUUACACCCCACGGUAGCCCUGAGUCCAUUAGUGACUCUAGGUCAAUCGGAAACCGAGUAACCGUUGCACGCACCGCCAUUAGCGCGUGAGAUUAGAGCUGGUGACAGUGAAAAUG
rnacentral:misc_RNA from 1 species